rnacentral:rRNA from 1 species
UACGUAGGGCGCAAGCGUUGUCCGGAAUUAUUGGGCGUAAAGAGCUCGUAGGCGGUCUGUUACGUCCGCUGUGAAAACCCAGGGCUUAACCCUGGGCUUGCAGUGGAUACGGGUAGACUAGAGGCAGGUAGGGGAGAAUGGAAUUCCCGGUGUAGCGGUGAAAUGCGCAGAUAUCGGGAAGAACACCCGUGGCGAAGGCGGUUCUCUGGGGACGGUACUGACGCUGAGACGCGAAAAGCGUGGGGAGCAAACAGG